rnacentral:other from 1 species
GUAGUCCUGCGGUGUUCGCUCUGUACGUUGGGUAUUUUCUUGAGCCUAAUUACAACCCCGGGGUUUCACGCCAGCACUGUGUGCAGGUCCGCUAGUCGGAAAGCCUAAUGGGCUGGCUGCUUACCCCACUUGAACCCUCGGUUCAAGAACGAAAGCGUCGGCGGCACAGGCGGGACUACC